NGUCCCGUAGUGUAGUGGUUAACAUGCCUGCCUGUCACGCAGGAGAUCGCGGGUUCGAGUCCCGUCGGGACCG
rnacentral:tRNA from 1 species